rnacentral:rRNA from 1 species
UAUGGAGAGUUUGAUCCUGGCUCAGGAUGAACGCUGGCGGCGUGCCUAAUACAUGCAAGUCGAGCGAACGGACGAGAAGCUUGCUUCUCUGAUGUUAGCGGCGGACGGGUGAGUAACACGUGGAUAACCUACCCAUAAGACUGGGAUAACUUCGGGAAACCGGAGCUAAUACCGGAUAAUAUUUUGAACCGCAUGGUUCAAAAGUGAAAGACGGUCUUGCUGUCACUUAUGGAUGGAUCCGCGCUGCAUUAGCUAGUUGGUAAGGUAACGGCUUACCAAGGCAACGAUGCAUAGCCGACCUGAGAGGGUGAUCGGCCACACUGGAACUGAGACACGGUCCAGACUCCUACGGGAGGCAGCAGUAGGGAAUCUUCCGCAAUGGGCGAAAGCCUGACGGAGCAACGCCGCGUGAGUGAUGAAGGUCUUCGGAUCGUAAAACUCUGUUAUUAGGGAAGAACAUAUGUGUAAGUAACUGUGCACAUCUUGACGGUACCUAAUCAGAAAGCCACGGCUAACUACGUGCCAGCAGCCGCGGUAAUACGUAGGUGGCAAGCGUUAUCCGGAAUUAUUGGGCGUAAAGCGCGCGUAGGCGGUUUUUUAAGUCUGAUGUGAAAGCCCACGGCUCAACCGUGGAGGGUCAUUGGAAACUGGAAAACUUGAGUGCAGAAGAGGAAAGUGGAAUUCCAUGUGUAGCGGUGAAAUGCGCAGAGAUAUGGAGGAACACCAGUGGCGAAGGCGACUUUCUGGUCUGUAACUGACGCUGAUGUGCGAAAGCGUGGGGAUCAAACAGGAUUAGAUACCCUGGUAGUCCACGCCGUAAACGAUGAGUGCUAAGUGUUAGGGGGUUUCCGCCCCUUAGUGCUGCAGCUAACGCAUUAAGCACUCCGCCUGGGGAGUACGACCGCAAGGUUGAAACUCAAAGGAAUUGACGGGGACCCGCACAAGCGGUGGAGCAUGUGGUUUAAUUCGAAGCAACGCGAAGAACCUUACCAAAUCUUGACAUCCUUUGACAACUCUAGAGAUAGAGCCUUCCCCUUCGGGGGACAAAGUGACAGGUGGUGCAUGGUUGUCGUCAGCUCGUGUCGUGAGAUGUUGGGUUAAGUCCCGCAACGAGCGCAACCCUUAAGCUUAGUUGCCAUCAUUAAGUUGGGCACUCUAAGUUGACUGCCGGUGACAAACCGGAGGAAGGUGGGGAUGACGUCAAAUCAUCAUGCCCCUUAUGAUUUGGGCUACACACGUGCUACAAUGGACAAUACAAAGGGCAGCGAAACCGCGAGGUCAAGCAAAUCCCAUAAAGUUGUUCUCAGUUCGGAUUGUAGUCUGCAACUCGACUACAUGAAGCUGGAAUCGCUAGUAAUCGUAGAUCAGCAUGCUACGGUGAAUACGUUCCCGGGUCUUGUACACACCGCCCGUCACACCACGAGAGUUUGUAACACCCGAAGCCGGUGGAGUAACCUUUUAGGAGCUAGCCGUCGAAGGUGGGACAAAUGAUUGGGGUGAAGUCGUAACAAGGUAGCCGUAUCGGAAGGUGCGGCUGGAUCACCUCCUU